rnacentral:rRNA from 1 species
UACGGGGGGGGCAAGCGUUGUUCGGAAUUACUGGGCGUAAAGGGCGCGUAGGCGGCCUGCUAAGUCGAACGUGAAAUCCCUGGGCUCAACCCAGGAACUGCGUCCGAUACUGGUCGGCUUGAAUCCGGGAGAGGGAUGCGGAAUUCCAGGUGUAGCGGUGAAAUGCGUAGAUAUCUGGAGGAACACCGGUGGCGAAGGCGGCAUCCUGGACCGGCAUUGACGCUGAGGCGCGAAAGCCAGGGGAGCAAACGGG